rnacentral:rRNA from 1 species
AACGCGAAGAACCUUACCCAGGCUUGACAUGCAGUGGACGAUACUAGAAAUAGUAUUUCUCUUCGGAGCCGCUGUACAGGUGCUGCAUGGCUGUCGUCAGCUCGUGCCGUGAGGUGUUUGGUUAAGUCCAGCAACGAGCGCAACCCUUAUCAUUAGUUGCCAACACGUAAAGGUGGGAACUCUAAUGAGACUGCCCGGGUUAACCGGGAGGAAGGUGAGGAUGACGUCAAGUCCGCAUGGCCCUUAUGUCUGGGGCUACACACGUGCUACAAUGGUCGGUACAGAAGGCUGCGAAACCGUGAGGUGAAGCAAAUCCCAAAAGCCGAUCUCAGUUCAGAUUGUAGUCUGCAACUCGACUACAUGAAGUUGGAAUUGCUAGUAAUGGCGUGUCAGCAACAGCGCCGUGAAUACGUUCCCGGGCCUUGUACACACCGUAGAGAC